GGAAUAUUGGACAAUGGGGGCAACCCUGAUCCAGCGAUGCCGCGUGUGUGAAGAAGGCCUGCGGGUUGUAAAGCACUUUCGGUGGUGAGGAGAGAUUAUUGUUUAAGAGAUAAUAGUUGAGACGUUAUCCACUAAAGAAGCACCGGCUAACCCUGUGCCAGCAGCCGCGGUAAGACAGAGGGUGCGAGCGUUAAUCGGACUUACUGGGCGUAAAGGGCGCGUAGGUGGUUAUAUAAGUUUGAUGUGAAAUAUCGAGGCUUAACCUUGAGGGGUCAUCGAAGACUGUAUGACUAGAGUACAAGAGAGGUCAGCGGAAUUUCCGGUGUAGCGGUGAAAUGCGUAGAUAUCGGAAGGAACACCAGUGGCGAAGGCGGCUGGCUGGCUUGAUACUGACACUGAGGCGCGAAAGCGUGGGUAUCGAAC
rnacentral:rRNA from 1 species